rnacentral:lncRNA from 1 species
AGGAAAGUGACCUCCCAGCCCCAACAGGCAGAGAAGCGGCAUGACAGCCAGCUUUGGGGUCAUCGAGACACAGCCGUGACAGAAGGGCUGAGCACAAGUCUGGCCAGUCGCCCUUGGAUUCAGUGAGCGAAGUGUUCAGGGCACGUGACCCAAAUCAGGCCAGUCGGCCCGGCCCAUUUCAGGCUCCUGCUUGCGAGACUAUGAAACUCGGCAGGAGUGGCUGGCGGGCCACAACUCUGAGGCUUUGGGCAGCCAUCUUGCCUUUGUGAGGGAAGAACCCAAGUGGAACUAACCAGCGAACGGCACAGCUGAAGAUGUAGACCAGGUCGACCAACUCGUCCAACUGGUAUUGUCUUGAUUUAAAAACCUGAAGGGCCACGACCUGGGAACCUCUCAGUCCUGGGAAGAUGGGAACGGCUGAUACGCCUAACUAGAAAGCAAGAGUGUGCUCUGAUGAAUCGCAGCCCCAGAUCCAGCCCCACCUGUGAACUUUUCACUGGUUUCUUUUUUCUGGUACUGGGAACUGAAUCCAGGGCUUCAAACAUGCUAGCCCCAUAAACUCUAUGCAUCUGUAUCAGCCCAGUCUUGGAACUCACUUUCUCCCUUUUUGUCAUCAACUCCCCCCACCCCAAAUGAAGAAGAUGAAGAAGAAGAAGAAAAAGAAAAACGACUGCUGUGCAGAACGUUCCAAGAUGCAAGCAACAAGCUGAGCUGAUCUUAUCAUCCCUCAGCACAGUUUUACCAAGAUGAAAGCAAGGACUAUUAAAAUAUCUGCUUGUAAUCUUUAUGUGAGAAGUGGCUGGAACUAGGCAUGAAAUGGUACUUCUUGUGCCUGUGACACAGAACAGCCAAGAACCGUCAGAAGUCAGGGCUGUGGCAGCUCUUGGGGCUGAGCCUCUGCAGGGCAGAACCCGGGGCAGAGUGAUUUCUAAGUCCCAACUCUCCAGAGCGGAAAGGGACUUGGUCUGGGUGUCGGGGUUCCUGGGUCCUGGAAUGAUAAUAACAUGUUUGCUGGGGGCUUAGAGUUGAUGAUUGUACAUGUGUUGUCUCCCAUAUUGUGCUACCCGUAGCAGUCUUCCUCAGGUACCGCAUUUCUACUCAUUUUCUCUGGCUUGUUUUAAAUAUCUUUAGGGAGGGUUUUCUAGCACCUCAAAGCAGGCUUGGUUUCUGUAGCAGUCAUGGUGCAUUGAGAUAGACAUUAGUUGUUAAGCACACCAUUUCACUUCCUUUUUUGGUAACAGCCCCUCCUUUCUUUUUAGGGAAAAUUUUCCCCUUCCCACGUAGUUCUGGUGGGCUGUUCAUCACAGUACCCUUCCCCUCUCCACACUGGUUGCCAGGAAACCAGGGAAAGCCUAUAUGCUCCCUCCCCAGGGCAGUGAUUGGUCCAUCUGUGGUCAUAUGACCUAAGUAGGGCCAAUAAGAGUCUUCUUUGCUAUUGAUCUACAGAUUAGGAGACAGGAAGGGUGUCUUUUGGAUGGGACUGCUAAGUGAGAAGGACUUGCACCUAGGGUUACCAGAGUCUGUCUUUUAUAACACUGUUGAGGAAAACUGUGAGUGUUAGGAGAGACAGAAGCUGGGCAUAAAAGCAGUGAAGAGGAUGGAUGUAAUAUAAUCCACAUACCAUAAACAUCCUUUUAAAGGGUUCAGUGGUUUUUAGGGUAUUCAUGAGUUUAUGCAACAAUCACCAUUAUCUAAUUCCAGAACAUGUCCAUCACCCUAAAAGGGAACCAUGUAACUGUUAGCAGUCACUCCCCCUUCUCUCCUAUCCUAGCCCCUGGAAACCACUAAUCUUUCUGUCUAUGGAUUUGCCUAUUCUGAACAUUUCAUGGUGAUGGAAUCAUAUGAUAUGUGGCCAUUUGUGCCUGCUCUCUUUUCCUUAGCAUGAUGUCUGCACAGUAUAACUAUAUUGUAUCAUAUACUAGUACUUCAUUCUUUUUUUAUGGCCAAACAAUAUUUCAUUGUAAGAAUGUAGCACAUUUUGUUUCACUAUUCAUUGGUUGGUGCAUAUUUGGCUUGUUUUGGGCCAUUAUGAAUAAUGCUGCUAUGAAUUUUUCAUUGAACAUUAUGU